rnacentral:rRNA from 1 species
AUUGAACGCUGGCGGCAGGCUUAACACAUGCAAGUCGAGCGGGGAAGGGCAGCUUGCUACCUAACCUAGCGGCGGACGGGUGAGUAAUGCUUAGGAAUCUGCCAUUUAGUGGGGGACAACAUUCCGAAAGGAAUGCUAAUACCGCAUACGUCCUACGGGAGAAAGCAGGGGAUCUUCGGACCUUGCGCUAAAUGAUGAGCCUAAGUCGGAUUAGCUAGUUGGUGGGGUAAAGGCCUACCAAGGCGAGGAUCUGUAGCGGGUCUGAGAGGAUGAUCCGCCACACUGGGACUGAGACACGGCCCAGUCUCCUACGGGAGGCAGCAGUGGGGAAUAUUGGACAAUGGGCGGAAGCCUGAUCCAGCCAUGCCGCGUGUGUGAAGAAGGCCUUAUGGUUGUAAAGCACUUUAAGCGAGGAGGAGGCUACUAGUAUUAAUACUACUGGAUAGUGGACGUUACUCGCAGAAUAAGCACCGGCUAACUCUGUGCCAGCAGCCGCCGUAACAC